AGAGUUUGAUCAUGGCUCAGGACGAACGCUGGCGGCGUGCUUAACACAUGCAAGUCGAACGAGAAUCUGCGGAACGAGGAUUCGUCCAAGUGAAGCAGUAGGACAGUGGCGGACGGGUGAGUAACGCGUGAGGAACCUGCCUUUCAGAGGGGACAACAGUUGGAAACGACUGCUAAUACCGCAUGACACAUAGAUGUACGCAUGGCGAUUUAUGUCAAAGAUUUAUCGCUGAAAGA
rnacentral:rRNA from 1 species